rnacentral:lncRNA from 1 species
UCAUAUGAGCUAAAAUGUUACACAUUCAAUCAUUGAGAGAUAUAAAGAAAAAGACAUAUACAUAGAUAGAUUAUCUUUCCAUAAGGUUGAGCGAUCUGAUCUGACAAAUGUUAUAAGUGCUACACUCAUGAACUUUUCAUGCAUCAACUUUGUCUUGCUCACUAUGCUUAGGGUUAGAGAAGAACAAAUACACUUUAGGAUCUGUUGGUGUUUUCCACCAACAGGACCCAUGCACUUGAUCUCUACCUUGUCUCUAUGAGCAGGUACACUUUGAGCAAAACACGGAGGAGUUUUAUAACUCUCAGACACUACCAAGUGAAGGACCUGGAUCUACGAGCACAAACACACUGAUCAGGUUACUGCCAACGCCGCACUUCGAACUGCUGGGCAAACGAAGAACAUGGGUAACACCGUAUCAAGAGGUGCAUACGUCAAGGUCCGCACCUGAAUCAAAUGACGCACCUGAAAAAUGAACACGGUGAGAAGUCUUGUUAAGAAGACUUAAAACAUUGAACCAUCGCCGAAAGGUAAGAUCGGUAGUUAUCCAUAUCUAUCCUUUCUGCAUUCCCUUUUCCCUUUAAUUAUUUACUUUCCUUAAAUAGAUUAUUAGUUAAUCAUGCUAUCUUGAAAAGAAAAUAAAAAUGUUAAAAUAUACUAAGCCCCAUGUGUGUAUACGAGUGGCAUAAAACCCAUAAGUACCUUCACUGUGGUGGCAUAAAAAUAAAAUAAAUAUUUCUUUUCUGCUUUAUAAAAUAAAAAUAUAAAAAUAGGGAGUAAUAUUUAUUGAGGAAGCUCAACAUAAUAAAGGCUAGAUAUUUAUGCUAACACUUAAUUAGUUCCACAAGCUUUGUUGUCUAUUUGAGCUCCACAGAAUGUAAGAAUCAAGAAGACUAGCAGACGGAGGACAUUCUAAUCGCUGUCAGAAUGCUGCUGACUUUCAAAUACACCUCUGCCACCUGCUAGCACAUCAAGAGAAAUUACGUCAAAAUUCAGCUUGGGGGAGAACACCCCCAUUUAUCUCGCUAAGUAUAUCUACCUAUCUUUAUACUUAUAUUAUAUUAGAAUAUUAAAAUACAUAAACUAUGAAGAAAACCAAAUAAAGAUUUUGUGCUUAUAUAUAUCUUUUGCUUAGUGUGUUUAAUAAAUAAAUAAAGUGGCUAUGCUAAUCUGAAUCUUAAUAAUAAAACUCUAGCAUGGAUAUGAUGAAUAGUUGCUCUGCCUAAUUUGCAAAUUUGAAGUUCUCUCUCAAGUUUAGAUAUUACUGUUAUAAUUUAAAGCUUGCUCUAGAUGUAAACUUGUGGGAUAAAAACUUGAUGUGAAAUCUAAGUUGUUAACGGAUAUGAUAUGGGAAGGUUGAGCUGCUGUUUAUCUGUUCCUAGAGAUGCUAGAAUUCUAGAGAAUUUUAUCUUUGAAAAAUCUUUAAAAUAUUGCAUGAUGAGUUCUUGUAUGAUGAAAGUUUAAAUUCCUACCACAGCCAUAUAUACAUGCUUGCUAGACUUUGAGCCACACAUUUACUAUUUACUGCUUAUGAGCAUUGAGUGUGGUCAAGCUGUGUAGACCCUUAGGAGCUUGUCAUGUGGUUAAAUCAAGAUUUCACUUGCAAGUUCACUCAUAUAUGCUACUUCUACUCCCGAAGUACCAUCCACAUAUAUCCAUCCAUGUCCAUCUCCAGAACCACCCAAAAAUAUUCUACUCCUAAUUCGAGAGAGAAUAGCCAAAAAUAUUUCUGUUUUCCCUUAUGAAAUAAAUACUCAAGUUAUCUUGCUACUACCACUUGCUAUAUUAUCUCAAGAGAUGAGUGCUCUAAAAAAAAGAAGAAAAGAGAGAAAAGAGAAAUAAAUAAAUAAAUAAAUAAAUAAAUGAGGAAAUAAAAAGGGGCAAGUGCCCGAAACCUCGAAAAAAGAAAAAGUAAGACGAGAGGUAUAAAUGGACAAGUGUCCGAUAGUAGAAUUAGGGGUACAAGAUACCCACUUGAGAGGAAAGAAAAAUGAAAGAUAGAGCAUCUCAUUCUCCUCAUAAAGUUUAAAAAAGCAAGGAAGGUAUGUAUCCCCUCAAAAGAGCAAAAGUAGAAUUAGACUUCCACCAUUGUUAUCACCAUCAUGACCAUACACCAGUCAUUCGCCACACAUGCACAUCUUGAUUUGGCUUAUUGAUUUGUUUCUUUGGAUCCAUGGUUUGACUAUACAAUAAAUGUCUUGUAAGUAUGUAUACUUUAUCUCCCACCUAUGAGCUCCAGAUAUUAAAGCCUUAAUAUAGUAGGGUGAGAGAGAAGGCAAUGUCACUAUGCCUUAUACCACAAAUACCACAUAUCUUGAGAGAAGGCAUAUACCAUCACUGCCUUGGUAAGGAUCCAGAAAUACCACAAAAGAGAGAUUUAGAGAGUCAUACAAGGAAUCUCUGAGUUUUAUUUGAAAUCUGCAAAAACUCCAGAGCUAUAGCUGAUCAAGAAUAAGAGACAUGGCACUUGGCUAGACUGUUCUAUCUUUUAACUACUCAAGACAGAAGUGACAGUUACAAGUCCCAUG